CAGCCGCCGCGGUAAUACGAAGGGGGCUAGCGUUGCUCGGAAUUACUGGGCGUAAAGGGAGCGUAGGCGGAUCGUUAAGUUGGGGGUGAAAGCCCGGGGCUCAACCUCGGAAUUGCCUUCAAUACUGGCGAUCUUGAGUAUGGAAGAGGUAUGUGGAACUCCGAGUGUAGAGGUGAAAUUCGUAGAUAUUCGGAAGAACACCAGUGGCGAAGGCGACAUACUGGUCCAUUACUGACGCUGAGGCUCGAAAGCGUGGGGAGCAAACAGGAUUAGAUACCGUGUAGUCCCUGUCUCUUAUACC
rnacentral:rRNA from 1 species